rnacentral:rRNA from 1 species
AUGUCUGGAGCGGGAGGCAAGUGGAUGGCCUCCUCCGUCACGGAGGGGCAUAUCCAGAAGCUGCGCAACGCCGGAUACUUGUCCAGCGACAUCGCGCAUCGGCUCCCCGGCGAGGGAGAGCUCAUCCCCACCCCCAGGCCCCAUGAGAGGGUAGUAUUCCUUCCCCAUUUCCUCCGCGGACUGGGCUUCCCACUUCAUCCCUUCGUCCGGGGGCUCAUGUUCUACUACGGCCUAGAUUUCCAUGAUCUGGCCCCGAAUUUUAUUCUCAACAUCUCGGCGUUUAUCGUCGUGUGCGAGGCCUUCCUCUGCAUCCAGCCCCACUUCGGCUUGUGGCUCAAGACCUUCAGUGUCAAGCCGAAGGUUGUGAAGGGCAGCCAAGCGGAGUGCGGAGGCGCCAUGGUGGGCAGAAUGUCCCACGUUACGUGGCUGGAGGGCACCUUUGGGGAAACCAUCAAGGGGUGGCAAUUGGGGUGGUUCUACAUCACCAAGCCGCGUGAUCCCGAAUGGGCAGCGGCCCCCGAAUUCAGAUCCGGCAUCCCCACACGGCUCACCUCCUGGAAAGAGAGCGGCCAGAUUUGGGGCGAUUCGGAGGAGCUGACCGGACUCCAAGCCUGCGUCCAAAAGCUGGUGGACAAGAAGCUCAAGCUUGUCAACAUAGCCCAGGUCAUGCUCAUCCGCCAGAUACUCCCGUGCCAACGACGGGGCUUCAAUAUGUGGGAGUUCGAUCCGGCGCAGCACCAGACUUUGAAUGGGCUCUUCGACACUACGUACGAAGAGGUCUGGAAGGUGCUGUUCAAGGGCGCCGAGGCUCCCGCAUCCGCUACCGAAGAUCGCGGAUUCAGCUCGCAGCAUCCAGCUGACGAGGUAAGUGAUAUUGUCCUUUACGGGACGCUUGUUAUUCAUAGUUUGACUCUAUGCGGGAUCUAA